CUACAGCUAAAAGCAGGUUUCCCUGCAGUACAGACACACGGUCUCGGCAGUUCGGCGUAGGGCUUCAACUUUUCAACAAAAACCAUGGAGUCUUCUCUCAAGCUUUCUCAGACAAGCAAGUAUUAAAGCCAGCUAUUGCUGUGAAUGGUGAGAAAAAGGAGUUUUUCUCAUUAUAAGACUAUUGUAAGAAAA
rnacentral:lncRNA from 1 species